GAUGAACGCUGGCGGCGUGCCUAAUACAUGCAAGUCGAGCGAACGGACGAGAAGCUUGCUUCUCUGAUGUUAGCGGCGGACGGGUGAGUAACACGUGGAUAACCUACCUAUAAGACUGGGAUAACUUCGGGAAACCGGAGCUAAUACCGGAUAAUAUUUUGAACCGCAUGGUUCAAAAGUGAAAGACGGUCUUGCUGUCACUUAUAGAUGGAUCCGCGCUGCAUUAGCUAGUUGGUAAGGUAACGGCUUACCAAGGCAACGAUGCAUAGCCGACCUGAGAGGGUGAUCGGCCACACUGGAACUGAGACACGGUCCAGACUCCUACGGGAGGCAGCAGUAGGGAAUCUUCCGCAAUGGGCGAAAGCCUGACGGAGCAACGCCGCGUGAGUGAUGAAGGUCUUCGGAUCGUAAAACUCUGUUAUUAGGGAAGAACAUAUGUGUAAGUAACUGUGCACAUCUUGACGGUACCUAAUCAGAAAGCCACGGCUAACUACGUGCCAGCAGCCGCGGUAAUACGUAGGUGGCAAGCGUUAUCCGGAAUUAUUGGGCGUAAAGCGCGCGUAGGCGGUUUUUUAAGUCUGAUGUGAAAGCCCACGGCUCAACCGUGGAGGGUCAUUGGAAACUGGAAAACUUGAGUGCAGAAGAGGAAAGUGGAAUUCCAUGUGUAGCGGUGAAAUGCGCAGAGAUAUGGAGGAACACCAGUGGCGAAGGCGACUUUCUGGUCUGUAACUGACGCUGAUGUGCGAAAGCGUGGGGAUCGAACAGGAUUAGAUACCCUGGUAGUCCACGCCGUAAACGAUGAGUGCUAAGUGUUAGGGGGUUUCCGCCCCUUAGUGCUGCAGCUAACGCAUUAAGCACUCCGCCUGGGGAGUACGACCGCAAGGUUGAAACUCAAAGGAAUUGACGGGGACCCGCACAAGCGGUGGAGCAUGUGGUUUAAUUCGAAGCAACGCGAAGAACCUUACCAAAUCUUGACAUCCUUUGACAACUCUAGAGAUAGAGCCUUCCCCUUCGGGGGGGCAAAGUGACAGGUGGUGCAUGGUUGUCGUCAGCUCGUGUCGUGAGAUGUUGGGUUAAGUCCCGCAACGAGCGCAACCCUUAAGCUUAGUUGCCAUCAUUAAGUUGGGCACUCUAAGUUGACUGCCGGUGACAAACCGGAGGAAGGUGGGGAUGACGUCAAAUCAUCAUGCCCCUUAUGAUUUGGGCUACACACGUGCUACAAUGGACAAUACAAAGGGCAGCGAAACCGCGAGGUCAAGCAAAUCCCAUAAAGUUGUUCUCAGUUCGGAUUGUAGUCUGCAACUCGACUACAUGAAGCUGGAAUCGCUAGUAAUCGUAGAUCAGCAUGCUACGGUGAAUACGUUCCCGGGUCU
rnacentral:rRNA from 1 species